rnacentral:rRNA from 1 species
UACGUAGGUGGCAAGCGUUGUCCGGAAUUAUUGGGCGUAAAGCGCGCGCAGGCGGUCCUUUAAGUCUGAUGUGAAAGCCCCGGGCUCAACCUGGGAACUGCAUUUGAAACUGGCGGGCUUGAGUGUGGCAGAGGGGGGUGGAAUUCCGCGUGUAGCAGUGAAAUGCGUAGAGAUGCGGAAGAACACCGAUGGCGAAGGCAGCCCCCUGGGCCAACACUGACGCUCAGGCACGAAAGCGUGGGGAGCAAACAGG